AGGGAAUCUUCCGCAAUGGACGCAAGUCUGACGGAGCAACGCCGCGUGAGCGAUGAAGGUCUUCGGAUCGUAAAGCUCUGUUGUCGGGGAAGAACAAGUAUCGGAGUAACUGCCGGUACCUUGACGGUACCUGACCAGAAAGCCACGGCUAACUACGUGCCAGCAGCCGCGGUAAUACGUAGGUGGCAAGCGUUGUCCGGAAUUAUUGGGCGUAAAGCGCGCGCAGGCGGUCCUUUAAGUCUGAUGUGAAAGCCCCCGGCUCAACCGGGGAGGGUCAUUGGAAACUGGGGGACUUGAGUGCAGAAGAGAAGAGCGGAAUUCCACGUGUAGCGGUGAAAUGCGUAGAGAUGUGGAGGAACACCAGUGGCGAAGGCGGCUCUUUGGUCUGUAACUGACGCUGAGGCGCGAAAGCGUGGGGAGCGAAC
rnacentral:rRNA from 1 species